AGAGUAGAGUUUACUAGUCUUGAAAAANNAAAUUGCUUGGCGGCCUAUUAACUAUACAGAGAAGCAUGUUUUUUAAUGGAAAUUACACAUAUAUCUUACCUAUUGUAGAUUGACAUUUGGUACACCGCCGUCGGAAGAGUAGUUUUUGAGAACUGUUCUAUUUCUAUAUUAAGAAAUAAGUCAGGUCAAAGCACCGACUAUCGAUAGGUUACAAUGUGUUUCAAUAUUA
rnacentral:rRNA from 1 species